UACGGAGGGUGCGAGUGUUGUCCGGAAUCACUGGGCGUAAAGGGCGCGUAGGUGGCGCGGGCAGUCAACGGUGAAAGUUCGGGGCUCAACCCUGAAUCGGCCGUCGAUACUCCCGGGCUUGAGCACUGUAGAGGCAGAUGGAAUUCCGGGUGUAGCGGUGGAAUGCGUAGAGAUCCGGAAGAACACCGGUGGCGAAGGCGGGUCUCUGGGCCAUAACUGACGCUGAGGAGCGAAAGCGUGGGGAGCGAACAGG
rnacentral:rRNA from 1 species